CUCGAUCAAUCGCCGAACCCUUCCGCUUGGAAGGGACGGGGGACCCAGGUGUUUGGGGUGAAUGUCAGGUCUUGAUCUGACAAGGGCGAUACGGACGCCCUAACCCGACAGCUAACCUCGCAGGCGUUCGCCGGGAAACAGU
rnacentral:sRNA from 2 species